UGAGUAACACGUAUCCAACCUGCCGUCUACUCUUGGCCAGCCUUCUGAAAGGAAGAUUAAUCCAGGAUGGCAUCAUGAGUUCACAUGUCCGCAUGAUUAAAGGUAUUUUCCGGUAGACGAUGGGGAUGCGUUCCAUUAGAUAGUAGGCGGGGUAACAGCCCACCAAGACGAUGAUAGGUAGGGGUUCUGAGAGGAAGGUCCCCCACAUUGGAACUGAGACACGGUCCAA
rnacentral:rRNA from 1 species